CUCCCCUCAUUUUAAGCCAGCCUCGUGCCAACGCUCCCCAGCGUUGUCCCUGGGGGUUACAGCUUCCAAACCAACGCAACCAGCAGCACCAGACUGAUGGAAUUUGCUGGUUUAUGGCUUGCUUCUUCACCGACCAACCCCCAGUGAAAGAAAUCAGGCUCUGCAUAGGUCACUGCAAAAUCAAAUCAAAUCAAAAUCAAUUAAUCACUGAAAUUCCUUUGCACGGGGCUGGGCUAUCUCUCUGCUCUCUCAAUGCCUGAGCAGCACGAACAGUGUUGCUAGCUUUACCAUGCCCAAGGGGGAGGCAGACAGUGAUUUUUUCCAUCCAUUGGAUGAUGCAACUCAGGAGAAACACUUAUAGGGGCAAGAUGAUGAGGCUCAAAGUUCAAAAGGGUCACCCAGCUCAAAGCAGUGUGGAGAAGAGGGAUGUUCAGCAGGAAGAUAUCAUAGAAUCAGUAAGGUUGGAGAAGACCUUGAAGAUCAUCCAUUCCAACCACCCACCUGCCACCGAUGUUGCAUACUAACCAAUGUCCCCAAGUACUGCAUCUACCUCCAGGGAUGGUGACUGCUUCCCUGGGCAGUCCCUCCUUGCAAAGCCUUCCCAACCUCAAUUUCAUCCUUCCCCCCCUCAUCAUUCCGCAACUGCCUUUUGCAAGCACAGCCACCCCCCAGUGAGCUGUGAGGGGCAUCUCAAAGUGCUUGGAGAAGGAGUCGUCGUCUUUCCCCAGCAAAACGCCUUUGACAGCAUCCAGAUUUAGUAGUGGAACACAAGAGAAGCAUGCAAGCUGUCAGCUGAAUCCCAGGACAUUGGAGGAGACAGUGACUUUGGGGGAAGAGCCUGCAACAAGCUGGAUGAUACAUUCCCCAGCAGCACAGCCCUGAUGAGAUGAAUAUUGCACAGACAUCCAAGAUCAUUUGCAUCCUUCUGCCCACGACUUUCCUCCUCAUCACCAUCUGCUCCCCUUGAAGGGCUCUGCUCUUUGGGGAGAAGUUUGUUUCUGAGGCUGACAACAGCAAGAGAAACCACAAUGAGAGCAGCUCAACGUCCAGGAGAAAUCUGGGGAUCAAUGAUGGAGUCAAACCCAAUGUGCUCUAAUCAACGCUUGCCCAAGCUCUCUUUGGCUUUGCAUGAAAAACAAAGAGAAAAAAGCCCCCUUCCAAACAAACAAACAAGAACAACACACAGAAAAAGGGAUAGUGGUAAAACGAGGAAGGGAAGAGAAGAACAAUUCCCAGGGAAAAGCAUCCCAUGCCCAAUUCCCAGGUUAGCAAGGGGCAGUGAAGAACUGAC
ensembl:lncRNA